GGGGCCCGAAGCGUUUACUUUGAAAAAAUUAGAGUGUUCAAAGCAGGCCCGAGCCGCCUGGAUACCGCAGCUAGGAAUAAUGGAAUAGGACCGCGGUUCUAUUUUGUUGGUUUUCGGAACUGAGGCCAUGAUUAAGAGGGACGGCUGGGGGCAUUGUAAAGCUAUUAUACUCCAAUAAAAAAUAAAAAAACAAGUCACACAAUCUUUCAUU
rnacentral:ncRNA from 1 species